rnacentral:pre_miRNA from 1 species
AGCCAUCUGUAUCCGUGCUGAGAUUUCGUCAGAGAUCAACCCAUUGGGGCUAAUGGUACUCCCCAAAUGAGUGAAGCG